rnacentral:rRNA from 1 species
CCUACGGGGGGCAGCAGUAGGGAAUCUUCCACAAUGGGCGCAAGCCUGAUGGAGCAACACCGCGUGAGUGCAGAAGGGUUUCGGCUCGUAAAGCUCUGUUGUUGGAGAAGAACGUGCGUGAGAGUAACUGUUAACGCAGUGACGGUCUCCAACCAGAAAGUCACGGCUAACUACGUGCCAGCAGCCGCGGUAAUACUUAGGUGGCAAGCAUUAUCCGGGUUUGUUGGGCGUACGGCGAGCGCAGGCGUGUGCUUAGGUCUGAUGUGAAAGCCUUCGGCUUAACCGAAGAAGUGCAUCGGAAACCGGGCGACUUGAGUGCAGAAGAGGACAGUGUAACUCCAUGUGUAGCGGUGGAAUGCGUAGAUAUAUGGAAGAACACCAGUGGCGAAGGCGGCUGUCUGGUCUGCAACUGACGCUGAGGCUCGAAAGCAUGGGUAGCGAACAGGAUUAGAUACCCGAGUAGUC